rnacentral:rRNA from 1 species
CAAAUUUUAAAUCUACCUGGUUUCCAGGUCGAGUUGUAAUUUGAAGAAGUGUUUUUUACUUUCCGGGUUGGGUUAAAUCCUUUGGGAUAAGGUAUCAUGGAGGGUGAGAAUCCCGUGUAUACCAACCGCAGGAUYGUUUAAUAUACACUUUCUAAGAGUCGAGUUGUUUGGGAAUGCAGCUCUAAAUGGGUGGUAAAUUUCACCUAAUGCUAAAUAUAAGCGAGAGACCGAUAGCGAACAAGUACCGUGAGGGAAAGAUGAAAAGAACUUUGAAAAGAGAGUUAAAUAGUACGUGAAAUUGUUGAAAGGGAAACGGUURAAGUCAGUCAUGCCGGCGGGAAUCAACUUAGGGGAAACUCUGAGUGCACUUCUUCGCUUGGCAGGUUAGCGUCGAUUUUGGAUGUCAUAAAAUGACUGGGGGAAGGUAGCUCUUUCGGGAGUGUUAAGCCCUURGUAGAUGUGAUGUCCGGGAUCGAGGAUUGCAACGGAUACCUUUUGGGCUARCCGCCUAGUCUCUAAUAYGAAGUUGGGUUAUGGACAGCACGCUGACUGUGAUCUGAUUUUCGGUUAAA